rnacentral:rRNA from 1 species
CCUACGGGAGGCAGCAGUGGGGAAUUUUGGACAAUGGGCGCAAGCCUGAUCCAGCAAUGCCGCGUGAGUGAAGAAGGCCUUCGGGUUGUAAAGCUCUUUUGUCAGGGAAGAAAAGGGAUCGGCUAAUAUCUGAUCCUCAUGACGGUACCUGAAGAAUAAGCACCGGCUAACUACGUGCCAGCAGCCGCGGUAAAUACGUAGGGUGCAAGCGUUAAUCGGAAUUACUGGACGUAAAGCGUGCGCAGGCGGUUUUUGAAGACUGUCGUGAAAUCCCCGGGGNUUAACCUGGGAAUGGCGAUGGUGACUGCAAGGCUAGAGUUUGGCAGAGGGUAGA